AUAGUCACACAAAUAAAACUAUUGAAGUGUUUCUUUGACCGUUAAACUUCAUCGGAAGAUUGGGUUUCAUAGAUUUGAGAAACAAGAACACAUUUCUUUGAGCAUUUCACCAACCCUCCCUCUCCGAUGCCGCCGCGCCUCUUCGCUCCGCUGCUACCUGUCGUUGCUUGUUGCCCCGUCACACUCGCGCCGCCGUCCCUCCGUCCCCUGUUUCAAAUUGAAAACACGUCGUAGCACCUCCUUCUCCGUAUGAAUCUCCGGCAAUUUGUCACAUGAACUAUUAGGAGUGCUACUUUAAUUUGCAACACAUGAUUUCACAGUUCAUUAGUCUUGCAACAUCGAAUAAAUUAAUAUCUUCAGCGUUUCAGUGAUGUCGAUUAUCGGAGCAGAUAUGCAGACUCUUGGUGAUUCUCGCUUGAUCCUCAUCUUCCUCUCUUCGAGUCUCAAUGGAAUGCUUUCUAUCAAAACCAAGAGUUAGUUUUGCUUCUAUUUCACUGAAUAUAUGCACACACGUCAAGCAAAAAUUGGAAAAGAGAUAGCUAUUUUCUCAUUUGUGACAUUAUCAGAGGUAAUAUGCAAGCCUUCUG